CCUAUGGGUGGGCUUCCAAUUGGUGAGGUCUAUAAAAUGAAUUCAGAAUGCCCAAAAGGGGUUGGACUGAGGGAGAGUCUAGAAGGAGACACAGAGGGAUGUAGCAUUCUUCAGGAACAGAGAAGAUUAACAUUUAAAUCAAGAGACGCUGAGUAAAGCAGAUGUCACUUCAUUAUGGUAUGAAUGCUACAUCCAAUCAGUUGAAAACCUAAAGAGACUGAAAUCCCCACCAAAAGAAGGAACCCUGAGCUGGAAGCAGUGGUACCACUGAGUGCUGGGAGUUCAUCCAGGAAGAAAUAUGCUUCUUCUUCA